CAUAGACGAAGUUGAUCUUGUAUUGGUGUUUGGUAGAUCUGAAGGAAACACCAGGGUUAGUGAUGUUGAAUUUUUCGAGGUUUCUCCACAUUCCAACACCAAGCACAUUUGGAAGUUUCCUUGUCAACUUAUCGAGGUAUGGAGAACCUUUACUUGUACACGAGCAUCUGUCAUGAAUGGUUUGAGGUCGGCCAAAGCAGUGAAUUCCAUGAUCACAGAUGAUUGAUCAACGUUUAUGGAAAAGCCAUAUACUGUCUGAGUUGUCUGAGUUUGUGUCGAAAAGAAAUAUGCAGAAGUAAUAGCUGUUCUUUAGAUGUGGUAAGAUAUUAAGUUAGAUUAGUGGUUAAGAAGUUAUAUAAAUAUGUCGUCUAUAACCACCUGCAUUGUUUGUUUGUUUUUUUUAAAUAGACCCAACAUAUAUCAAUAGGGCAUACUGCAACUUUAAUAGU